UACGUAGGUGGCAAGCGUUGUCCGGAUUUACUGGGCGUAAAGGAUGCGUAGGCGGAUAUUUAAGUGAGAUGUGAAAUACCCGGGCUCAACUUGGGUGCUGCAUUUCAAACUGGAUAUCUAGAGUGCAGGGGAGGAAAGUGGAAUUCCUAGUGUAGCGGUGAAAUGCGUAGAGAUUAGGAAGAACAUCAGUGGCGAAGGCGACUUUCUGGACUGUAACUGACGCUGAGGCAUGAAAGCGUGGGGAGCAAACAGG
rnacentral:rRNA from 1 species